rnacentral:rRNA from 1 species
UGAUUCAUGACGGUAUCAACAGAAGAAGCACCGGCUAACUACGUGCCAGCAGCCGCGGUAAUACGUAGGGUGCAAGCGUUAAUCGGAAUUACUGGGCGUAAAGGGUGCGCAGGCGGUUCUGUAAGUCAGAUGUGAAAUCCCCGGGCUUAACCUGGGAACUGCGUUUGAAACUGCAGAGCUAGAGUGCGGCAGAGGGAGGUGGAAUUCCAUGUGUAGCAGUGAAAUGCGUAGAGAUAUGGAAGAACAUCGAUGGCGAAGGCAACCUCCUGGGCUAGCACUGACGCUCAUGCACGAAAGCGUGGGGAGCAAACAGGAUUAGAUACCCUGGUAGUCCACGCCCUAAACUAUGUCAACUAGUUGUCGGGUCUUAUUAGACUUGGUAACGUAGCUAACGCGUGAAGUUGACCGCCUGGGGAGUACGGUCGCAAGAUUAAAACUCAAAGGAAUUGAC